GCCCAGCAGAGAUUGAGUAACUUAUGCGAGUUGUCACUCACCUCACACGCCCCAGCAAGCAUCCAGGAGAGCCUGCCUCUUGGAAUAGAAAUCAGACAUCCCACAGGAACUCUGAGGUUUUCCCACUGCUGCCAGAUGUAUGCAAGGAACACGUGAUCUUCGUAAUUCCAGAGCGGGGCAAACUGCUUGGCACCUCUUCAAUAGGUGACAUUCAAUGAUAGAUCUCUGGCUUCCUGCUCUGUUUGUUCUGGUUGCCCUGGAAAGCCUGCUGCUCAGCCCAUGCCCCGGGACUUCCUCCACCCUCACCAGGACAUUCUUUCCAUCUCUUGUCUCCUGUGUGCAAGUCCCUUUCUCCUGGAUUCCAUGUCUUGAAUGUUUCUUAAUUUACUUCCUCAUUUUGGCAGAGGAUGUCCUCCAGUUGUUUUCUGGGAAUGCUAAUAUGCAAGUGAACCAGUGACCUGCAGUUCUGCCCACACAGGGUUAAUAACCAAUCAGAUUCUCUCUUUUCAAGAUGGUUAACAUAACAGACACCAAGAAAGGGAAGAGGAGCCGACAGCAGAGGGGGAAGCUGAAAAGACGCACAAAGAAUGGCCAUAAAAGAUAUGAGUAUGUUGAGUGAUUAGUGAUCGGAAACUACGAGUGAUAUGGUACAGGUGUUUGUAGAAGAACAGUAAAGCCAUUGAUCAGGUCAGCUAUCAAUGAACUCCUGCUAGAGAAGGG
rnacentral:lncRNA from 10 species